AAGUCGUAACAAGGUUUCCGUAGGUGAACCUGCGGAAGGAUCAUUAAAAAAAGAGAAACGUCCCGUUUUUUUUCAUAAGAAUGGGUUCUAUUCCCUUAAACCGUGUCUACAUACCUUUGUUGCUUUGGCAGGCCGCCUUCGGGCGUCGGCUCCGGCUGAUAGUGCCUGCCAGAGGACCCAAACUCUAUGUUUAGUGAUGUCUGAGUACUAUAUAAUAUUUAAAACUUUCAACAACGGAUCUCUUGGUUCUGGCAUCGAUGAAGAACGCAGCGAAAUGCGAUAAGUAAUGUGAAUUGCAGAAUUCAGUGAAUCAUCGAAUCUUUGAACGCACAUUGCGCCCCUUGGUAUUCCGAGGGGCAUGCCUGUUCGAGCGUCAUUAUAACCACUCAAGCCUGGCUUGGUAUUGGGGUUUUCGCGUGUUCGCGGCCCUUAAAAUCAGUGGCGGUGCCGUCUGGCUCUAAGCGUAGUAAUUUCUCUCGCUAUAGGGUUCCGGUGGUUACUUGCCAAAACCCCCCAUUUUUUCUAGGUUGACCUCGGAUCAGGUAGGGAUACCCGCUGAACUUAA
rnacentral:rRNA from 1 species